CCUACGGGUGGCAGCAGUGAGGAAUAUUGGUCAAUGGCCGGAAGGCUGAACCAGCCAUGCCGCGUGAAGGUCAGUGCCCUAUGGGCGUUAAACUUCUUUUGUGCGGGAGCAAUAAUGGUCACGUGUGGCCAGACGAGAGUACCGUACGAAUAAGCAUCGGCUUACUCCGUGCCAGCAGCCGCGGUAAAACGGGGGAUGCAAGCGUUAUACGGAUUUAUUGGGUUUAAAGGGUGCGUAGGCUGGGAGGUAAGUCAGCGGGGUAAUGCCACCGCGCAAAGGGGUGAAGUGCCAUUGAAACUGGCUUGCUUGAAUGCGGGAGCCGUAGGAGGAAUGGGUGGUGUAGCGGUGAAAUGCAUAGAUAUCACACAGAACACCGAUUGCGAAGGCAGCUCACGAAUCCGCAAUUGACGCUGAUGCACGAAAGCGUGGGUAUCAAACAGGAUUAGAUACCCCUGUAGUC
rnacentral:rRNA from 1 species